GACCGCGUAGCUCAGUUGGCAGAGCAUUGGGCUAGUAUUCCAAAGGUCGCGUAGGUUCGAUUCCCACCGUGGUCA